UGGGCUUCAACAAAACCUUUCUUCUCCAAGUACUCAGGCUUCAAAUUCCCCCAUGGAUUCCUCCCACUGCCAUAACUAGGAAGAUUCAAAGUCACUAUAGACCGAACACUUGAAGGUAUAGGGACUUGCUCCCACUUUGAGCUAUUGACCUUCUUGACAUAUAAGCGCAGAAUGUUAUUUAAUCCCCUUAAACCAGGAUCACUGCUACAAGGUGCAAAGAACCAGCCUUGCUUGCAACUAUAUCCUGAGUAAAUCA
rnacentral:misc_RNA from 1 species